UACGUAGGUGGCAAGCGUUGUCCGGAUUUAUUGGGCGUAAAGGGAGCGCAGGCGGUGACUUAAGUCUGAUGUGAAAGCCCACGGCUCAACCGUGGAAGGUCAUUGGAAACUGGGUCACUUGAAUAUAGAAGAGGAAAGUGGAAUUCCAUGUGUAGCGGUGAAAUGCGUAGAUAUAUGGAGGAACACCAGUGGCGAAGGCGACUUUCUGGUCUGUAACUGACACUGAGGCUCGAAAGCGUGGGGAGCGAACAGGAUUAGAUACCCU
rnacentral:rRNA from 1 species